UCUGGGUGCGGUGGGCGGUGCCGCCCUGGGACACCUGGUCCAGGGUUCAAGAGCCUUUUGGGAUCAGCUUCAGAGAGAGCCUGGGGCUGGAGGACGGGGCGGUAGCAGCUGGCUUCACAGGGGACUCGCCUCUGUAGUACUUUACAUAGGACUCGCCUACCAUCUGCCAAUCGCUUUGCAAACACCUUGGGAGGCGCGUCCGCCAUUUUCCUGACAUCACAAAUGAUGGCCCUGAAAGAGCAGUGACGUCAUGUGCCGGGCUUGCGCACUGAAGUCUUCUGGCUUUGGACCCAGCGUACCAUCCAUUCCAGCUGGCUGCCAUGAAGACGCUCGUUGAACUCCUGGAAGUGAGACUGGCUAGUAACAGUCCGGAGGAAGAAGAGAGGCCAGAGAAGAACCCUAAAAUCCUCCAGCAUUCAGUGGACGAGACCCAAAGGCAAUCCCACCGAGGAGGCGCGCAGACAGCUAAGAAGGCCGGAGGACCAGGAGAAGCCUGUGAGCUCGGGGGCUGAAGGCCAGAGCUAGGGAGCUGCACCUAAGCACUUCCCAGCCACGCCCCCCUGGGCGGGCUGGACUCCAGCUGCCCAGCCCUCUGCACUCUUCCGCCGGAAGCCACCACCUGCACUUGGCGUCUAUUCUGAAACAGGGCAGGUUUACAGGGAAAUGAAGUCGCUGGUACUUCCGGGGAGGGAAGUUUCCACUCAAAGCAGGACUGAAAGAGUUUGGCAAGUCUGUCCGGGAAGGGGAAGGGAGCGGAAGCGCCAAGUGCAAACAGAGACCAUCAUCAAGAGUCGAGCUCUGGCGGCACAACCAGAGGAAGGGCGGCCAGGAUCAGUGAAGGCCUGGGCAGACCCGAGGAUAGCUGAAGGCAGAAAUGAAAGACUGCAGAGGAGAGUGGAUGGGGAGGGUAGCUGGUUAGGGACAAAGGGUCCUUGGGGAGGAGAGAGCGUCUUUGAAAGGCGUGUCACGGCUGCAUCAGAGACAAGACUAGGGAGAAAAGAGAAACUGGAGUGAUGGGAGGAGGGGAAGCGGAGCCCAGGAAACGCCUCCUUCUGAUGACGUGCACGGAAAGGCCUUCCUCGGAGCCAGUCGGGUCGAUGCCUUUCUCAAUCAAGCCAUGUUUUAAUGAAUAGUUUUAAUAGCCAGACUAAAAGAUAAAACUUGAACCAAUAUAACCAUCACUCAAAGAGGAUGAGAGGUUUACUAUUGACUUGACUACUUCAAUUGUGUGAUUUUGGCACAGGUUUCUACAAAAUUAAACAAGAGAAUCAUCUCCUUAAACUCUCACAUCAAUAAUAAUAAAUCCACCAAAGAGAUGAAAAGCCCACCAAAAGCUAUUAAGACCGAGGCUACUGUUAGAAGCAAAAAUUCCCUUUGAGUAGUAUGGGUUCCAAAUGAGGUCCGUGGAAGCUAAGUAGAAUGCCCAUGCAGUCUGGGGUGCCCAUAGCGCCUCCAUUUUCUAAUUCUCCCCAAGCGCAGGUCUUCAAUUACUGUUGGGCAGAAAAGGCAGUCGGUGGAUUUCCAGAUAAGAAAACAAGUUAUUAUUAUUAAAGGGGGGAAAUGGCUUAAAAUCAUGAAAAUAAAUUGUAUGUAAGAAACAACUGUGAUGCAGCAAGACUUGUUUCUCCACAACAGGUCCCGCCUUGAAGUUGGAAAAGGGACCCUUUGAGACUUGGAAUGGUUUAGACUUUACCAGACUUCGCAUGGCUCGACUUCCCUGACUCUCUCACGAUGGACCUCGUACACUUUGUGGUCCUGUGCUUCCUGCAAACACUCUGCAAUGGAAUCUUUCCUCGCUUGCCAAGGAAAGCGAUAGCAGCAGAAGCUGAUCCUCGGAGACCUUUGUGCAAUGAAAGGGAUUUGCCUGGACCUGGGUCAGUCUCUGGGUAUUAUUUAUCCCAUGUCAUAAAGCGGCCCAGAUGACAUUAACCAUUUUCAUUUCACUCUUUCGGAAUAUAAACUUGGAUUCGCAGUCAUUGUUCAUAGUCGCAGUUUGUAGAGCCGAAAGAUGUGCUGCAGCACCUAAAAUGCAAACUGGGAGUCUACAUUCCACAUCUCGGAGCUCAUCUUCCAUCUCUUGUCUUCGGCGUCCUUCUACGAACCCCUUUAAGCAACCCGUCUACACUGUUCAAAUUGCAGUCGUCUACACGCCACCUAGUGACUCCUGGCAUUCGGCCCCAAUGACCUCAAAAUGGAAACAUUCAUUGAAAGCACAGAAGGGCCGUGUUUGAAGGCGCUUUUCUGUGGCUUUCCAAAAAAGCUACAUGACACUGAAACGGCUUUGAGUUAUGGGAAGUCGCUCCCCCAGCCAGCAGCUGAGCCAGCAGCAGAGAUGAAAGCUCUUAGCUCAGAGAUCCGAAGGGAAAACACAGCUGCAGCAGCUGCCUGCUCAGAUCUCCACACUUGGCACAGGGAUAGAGAAGGCGAUAAUGUGCUGUGCCUCAGCUUGAAGAGUGCAUUAAUACAAACAAUCCUUAAACAGAACCAGAGGAAACUAUCCAAUGGUAUCAAAGGUUGUAGAAAAGACAAGGAAGAAGAUGGAGAAAAGGCAAGGCCACUGGGGUCUUAACAAUUAAAUCAGUGUUUGUUAACCUUAGAGAGAAUCAGUUCAUUCAAGUGGUAAGCUCUGAAGCCAAACAAUAAGAGGUCAAGAACUGAGUGCUGAUAAAUAAAGACACAGAACGUGAAUAUAAAUAAUUUUUGUUUGAUGCUUGGCAAUGAAAAGAGAAAUGAAAAUUUAAGGAUGGGCUACAUUUUACAUCGGAAGAACAGAACGAGACAACAAAGAUGAAAGGGCUGACAGACAAAGGGAGAGGGAGGCACAGUGGAACAAACUCCUGGAAGAGAUAAGGGGAAAGAAGCAGGUCUCAGGGAGAAAGUAUUCACAAUUAUUACACCUAUAUAAAUGAAAAGAAUGUUAGAUUGCCAAAAAACCCCAAACAAAGCUACACAAAUCCACCCAAACCCACUUUCAUCAUAAUAGACAUCUCUGGUACUAUGCCUACAAACAUCCUUUCUUUGAAUAAGCAAUAAAUGAAAAGGUGACUUAUAA